rnacentral:rRNA from 1 species
UACAGAGGUCUCAAGCGUUGUUCGGAUUCAUUGGGCGUAAAGGGUGCGUAGGCGGCGCGGUAAGUCGGGUGUGAAAUCUUGGAGCUUAACUCCGAAACUGCAUUCGAUACUGCCGUGCUUGAGGACUGGAGAGGAGACUGGAAUUUACGGUGUAGCGGUGAAAUGCGUAGAUAUCGUAAGGAAGGCCAGUGGCGAAGGCGAGUUCCUGGACAGUUACUGACGCUGAGGCACGAAGGCCAGGGGAGCAAACGGG